rnacentral:rRNA from 1 species
CGGUCAGAGGAAAGUGGCGGACGGGUGAGUAAUAUGUAGGAAAUCUGCCUUAGAGAGGGGGACAACAGAGGGAAACUUCUGCUAAUACCCCAUAUGAGCUACCUUGAAAUAGGUAUCUUGAAAACUCCGGUGCUCUAAGAUGAGCCUGCAUCUGAUUAGCUUGUUGGUGGGGUAAUGGCCUACCAAGGCGACGAUCAGUAGCUGGUUUGAGAGGAUGAUCAGCCACAAUGGGACUGAGACACGGCCCAUACUCC